CACUGGAUCGGUUGGAGCUUUGCACCUUGAAGACUCUGUUGAGACCACCAAGUUGAAGCUUACAUGGCUACCUGUAAUGGAUGAGCUUGUUAAUCUAUCCUUGUUUAAGUUCGACUAUUUGAUCACCAAGAAGAAGCUUGAAGAAGAGGAGGG